rnacentral:rRNA from 1 species
GCAUAUCAAUUAAGCGGAGGAAAAGAAACCAACAGGGAUUGCCCCAGUAACGGCGAGUGAAGCGGCAAAAGCUCAAAUUUGAAAUCCUGCGGGAAUUGUAAUUUGAAGGUUUCGUGGUCUGAGUCGGCCGCGCCCAAGUCCAUUGGAACAUGGCGCCUGGGAGGGUGAGAGCCCCGUAUGGCGCACGCCGACUCUUUGUACACCGCGGCUCCGACGAGUCGAGUUGUUUGGGAAUGCAGCUCUAAGUGGGUGGUAAAUUCCAUCUAAAGCUAAAUAUUGGCGAGAGACCGAUAGCGAACAAGUACAGUGAUGGAAAGAUGAAAAGCACUUUGAAAAGAGAGUGAAACAGCACGUGAAAUUGUUGAAAGGGAAGGGCUUGCAAGCAGACACGGUUUUACCGGGCCAGCGUCGAAAAGGGGGGAGGAACAAGAACUCGAGAAUGUGGCGCGCACCUUCGGGCGCGCGUGUUAUAGCUCGUGUUGACGCCUCCAUCCCUUUUCGAGGCCUGCGAUUCUAGGACGCUGGCGUAAUGGUUGCAAGCCGCCCGUCUUGGAAACACGGACC